rnacentral:rRNA from 1 species
CACGUAGGGCGCAAGCGUUUGUCCGGAAUUAUUGGGCGUAAAGAGCGCGUAGGCGGUCCGGUAAGUCGGUUGUGAAAGUCGGGGGCUCAACCCUCGGAUGCCGAUCGAUACUGUCGGGCUAGAGUCCGGAAGAGGCGAGUGGAAUUCCUGGUGUAGCGGUGAAAUGCGCAGAUAUCAGGAGGAACACCAACGGCGAAGGCAGCUCGCUGGGACGGUACUGACGCUGAGACGCGAAAGCGUGGGGAGCGAACAGG